CCGGUGUGAGGCCCGGACAGUCCGGUAGCUCAUCUGUUCUAGCGUGCCGCGCGUCGCGCGAGGCCACGCGCCAGCCAUCCUCGGUAUGCGUGUGUCGGGUAUCGCCGCCGGCCAUUCUCGGUUAAUGCAUCCUUAUCCGCAGUUGUCGUCGCCGGCCUUAUCCCCCUCUGAGCUGCCGUAUUCCCCUUCUCCUUCUCCCCCUUCCUCGAGCUCGAGCCGAGCAAUGGCACAGCCGGCGCCACGACCAUCUCCGUCGCACCUCGCUCCGAUUCCGCGCGCCAGAGCCUGCUCCGCCUUGUCCUCCACCUUUGCCGUGCUUCCCCAAGUCCGGCCGAGCCCCACCCUAACCGGAAUCGAUCCCGCACCGGCCGGCCGCCAUUGGAAGCCGUCGCAAGGAGCUCCGUUGCCGCCGCCGAUUCGCCGCCCAUGGCUUCCCGGCGAGCACCUCCACCCAUCAUCGUCUCUGCUCGCUGUGGCGCCUCCCUGUUGCGUCGUUCCUUCGUCUGAGCUUUGGUGACUGAACCGUCGGAGAACGAACCUGUUGAGCCUGCCGAGUCCGUCGAGCCUGAACCCGGAGUCCAGUUCAUGGUCGAGCCCGAAGUUAACCAAGGCAAGCAGCUAAGCAUGAUUCCUUACUCCUAUUUAAUCUGAAUUAGUUAGUUACAUCACUGGGUAAUAUGGGGUUAUAUAGUAUGUAUGUAUUGCAUUUUGGUACCUACUCUCUUGCAUUACCCUUCCUUGAAUUGUUAUUCAUGUCCUUGUCACUUGUUAGUCAGUUAAUAACUUAAUCUGACUAGAUGCUUAGCCCUGCUUA